rnacentral:rRNA from 1 species
UACAGAGACCUCGAGCGUUAUCCGGAUUUAUUGGGCGUAAAGAGCAUGUAGGCGGGUAUAUUAGUCAGAUGUCAAAUCUCCGAGCUUAACUCGGAAACUGCAUUUGAAACGGUAUAUCUUGAGGAAGUGAGAGAUCGAUGGAACGUAUGGUGUAGCAGUGAAAUGCGUUGAUAUCAUACGGAACACCAAAGGCGAAGGCAUUCGAUUGGCACUUUUCUGACGCUGAGAUGCGAAAGCGUGGGUAGCGAAUGGG